rnacentral:rRNA from 1 species
GACGAACGCUGGCGGCGUGCCUAAUACAUGCAAGUCGAACGCAUUUUCUUUCACCGUAGCUUGCUACACCGAAAGAAAAUGAGUGGCGAACGGGUGAGUAACACGUGGGUAACCUGCCCAUCAGCGGGGGAUAACACUUGGAAACAGGUGCUAAUACCGCAUAAUUCCAUUUACUGCAUGGUAGAUGGAUGAAAGGCGCUUUUGCGUCACUGAUGGAUGGACCCGCGGUGCAUUAGCUAGUUGGUGGGGUAACGGCCUACCAAGGCUGCGAUGCAUAGCCGACCUGAGAGGGUGAUCGGCCACACUGGGACUGAGACACGGCCCAGACUCCUACGGGAGGCAGCAGUAGGGAACCUUCGGCAAUGGACGCAAGUCUGACCGAGCAACGCCGCGUGAGUGAAGAAGGUUUUCGGAUCGUAAAACUCUGUUGUUAGAAAAGAACAGGGAUGAGAGUGGAAAGUUCAUCCCUUGACGGUAUCUAACCAGAAAGCCACGGCUAACUACGUG